rnacentral:rRNA from 1 species
GACGAACGCUGGCGGCGUGCCUAACACAUGCAAGUCGAACGGAAAGUCCCUGCCUUUGUGGGGUGCUCGAGUGGCGAACGGGUGAGUAACACGUGAGUAACCUGUCCCUGACUGUGGGAUAACUUCAUGAAACUGGGGCUAAUACCGGCUAGGAGCUCCCGCUGCUUGGUGGGGGCUGGUAAGUUUCGGCGGUUGGGGAUGGACUCGCGGCCUAUCAGCUUGUUGGUGGGGUAGUGGCUUACCAAGGCUUUGACAGGUAGCCGACCUGAGAGGAUAACCGGCCACGUUAGAACUGGAAUACGGCCCAGACUCCUACGGGAGGCAGCGGUGGGGAAGAUUGCACAGUGGGCGGAAGCCUGGUGCGACAACGCAGCGUGCGGGAUGAGGGGAAUCGGGUUGUAUACCACUGUCGCCUGAGACGAGGCGAGAGUGACGGUAACGGGUGAAGAAGCACCGGCUAACUACGUG